CUUCACAGAGUUCUGAUUGGUGCACAGCUUCUACACAGAGUUCUGAUUGGCGCACAGCUUCUUCACAGAGUUCUGAUUGGCGCACGGCUCCUUCACAGAGUUCUGAUUGGCGCACGGCUCCUUCACAAAGUUCUGAUUGACGCACAGCUCCUUCACAGAUUUCUGAUUGGCGCACGGCUUCUUCACAGAGUUCUGAUUGGUGCACGGCCUCUUACGGAGUUCUGAUUGGCGCACAGCUUCUUCACAGAGUUCUGAUUGGCACACAGCUCCUUCACAGAGUUCUGAUUGGCGCACGGCUCCUUCACAGAGUUCUGAUUGGCGCACAGCUCCUUCACAGAGUUCUGAUUGACACACAGCUCCUUCUGGGAUGCCCACCAGAACUCUGACCCCAUCCUGUCUCACAGCAGUCGAUGCAGAAGAGGCAGCCAUACCAGACACUGUGGAGGAGGGUCUGACAUGAGCGUGUCCAAGAAGCCAUUUAAGGUGACCUUUUUCUGCACCAGAGAAAGAAAAACCACAAAAGCACAGGUCAGGGAACAAUGUCAGCUGCUACCAUUUGAUAAUGAAGAAAUAAAUCACUCAGUUAAC
rnacentral:lncRNA from 1 species